CAUGCAGUCGAACGGCACACGAGUGCUUGCACCUGGUGGCGAGUGGCGAACGGGUGAGUAAUACAUCGGAACAUGUCCUGUAGUGGGGGAUAGCCCGGCGAAAGCCGGAUUAAUACCGCAUACGAUCUACGGAUGAAAGCGGGGGACCUUCGGGCCUCGCGCUAUAGGGUUGGCCGAUGGCUGAUUAGCUAGUUGGUGGGGUAAAGGCCUACCAAGGCGACGAUCAGUAGCUGGUCUGAGAGGACGACCAGCCACACUGAGACUGAGACACGGCCCAGACUCCUACGGGAGGCAGCAGUGGGGAAUUUUGGACAAUGGGCGAAAGCCUGAUCCAGCAAUGCCGCGUGUGUGAAGAAGGCCUUCGUGUUGUAAAGCACUUUUGUCCGGAAAGAAAUCCUUGGCUCUAAUACAGUCGGGGGAUGACGGUACCGGAAGAAUAAGCACCGGCUAACUACGUGCCAGCCGCCGCGGUAAUACGUACGGUGCGAGCGUAAUCGGAAUUACUGGGCGUAAAGCGUGCGCAAGCGGUUUGCUAACACCGAUGUGAAAUCCCCGGGCUCAACCUGAGAACUGCAUUGGUGACUGGCAGGCUAGAGUAUGGCAGAGGGGGGUAGAAUUCCACGUGUAGCAGUGAAAUGCGUAGAGAUGUGGAGGAAUACCGAUCGCCAAGGAGCCCCCUGGGCCAAUACUGACGCUCAUGCACGAAAGCUGGGGAGCAAACAGUAUUAGUACCCUGGCAGUCCACACCCUAAAGAUGUCCACUAGUGUUGGGGAUCCUUUCCUUAUAACGUAGCUAACGC
rnacentral:rRNA from 1 species